AGCAGCCGCGGUAAUUCCAGCUCCAAUAGCGUAUAUUAAAGUUGUUGCAGUUAAAAAGCUCGUAGUUGAAUUUCGGGGUUAGUAGGUUGGUCAUGCCUCUGGUAUGUACUGGUCUCACUGAUUCCUCCUUCCUGAUGAGCCGUAAUGCCAUUAAUUUGGUGUUGCGGGGAAUUUGGACUGUUACUUUGAAAAAAUUAGUGUGUUUAAAGCAAGCUAACGCUUGAAUACAUUAGCAUGGAAUAAUGAAAUAGGACGUUCGAUCCUAUUUUGUUGGUUUCUAGGAUUGACGUAAUGAUUAAUAGGGAUAGUUGGGGGCAUUAGUAUUCAAUUGUCAGAGGUGAAAUUCUUGGAUUUAUUGAAGACUAACUACUGCGAAAGCAUUUGCCAAGGAUGUUUUCAUUAAUCAAGAACGAAAGUUAGGGGAUCGAAGACGAUCAGAUACCGUCGUAGUCUUAACCAUAAACUAUGCCGACUAGGGAUCGGAUGAUGUUAAUUUUUUAAUGACUCA
rnacentral:rRNA from 1 species